GUCCAGAAGCGCAAAAAUCCAGGGAUCAAAAAUUAUAUUUUUAUGAGGAAAAAUGUAUGAAUAAAGUUGCCCACCACACAGACACACACACAUAUCCAACACUGCAAAAUGGAUCAGCUUUUGAAUUUAAGGAAAAAAGGCGAAACAAUGAUUCUCGGCUAAAGAGAGACAUUUUCGGCAUGGAUAUUUCGCAAGGGACGUGAACACAGCAUAAGACAUCAACCUGACUACACCUGCACCUCGAGGGGGAUGGGGACAGCCGGCUGAGCUUUAAGAAAAGGUAACAGCACCUGUUGAUUAAAAAUUCGCCUGGGUUGGCCUUACCUGGGGACUUCAGUGUAGUUCGGGAGAAAUUAAAUCUGAAAGUGCAGCAGUCUCGAUUUUCCUGAAGAGUCGUGGAGAGACAACGCAAAAGGUGGUCAGUAAAACACGUCCCCCAGCAACCGAGAACGAGCGGAGGGAGCAUUAAACUCAGAAUCCCACACAGGAGUGGCCGAAAGGCGGGACUAUCUGUGUUGCAAGAUGGAAGUGAGGGAGUGGCAGAGAGAAGGGAAAAAAACCCGACGGAGCGGUGGAGCAUAACAGCCCAUACAGAUAUCAGGUGCGUUACCUGAGCCCCAUAUCAAUAGUUAAUCACCCUGGGACACUCAAUCUACAGCUCGCUGGCGAGGUCUCCCGUGGAGAGUUGCGGCGUUCGUGGUGUGCGUCUUCAUCUGUGUUUGAGAACAGAAAGCCUGCAAAGACUUUUAUAUUGUGACAGAAGUCAAAAGCUGCUGUGUGUGCUGGGAAGGAGAACAGGCAAGGACACAGCAAAAAAGAAGAGAGAGAGAGAGAGAUCAGUGAAAGAAGUGUAGACACAGAGGGAAUGGGGGAAUAUAAAACUGACAUGGAUGGGGAGCAGUCCUCAGCAAAAACAUGACUGGGCAGUAGUUGGAGGACAACGAAUGCUGAAAUGUUUGAUUCAUUUGUGUUUGUCUUGUAAACUGGACCAAAAUAAAAAUAAAAAAUGGGGCACUGUGCUUCAUGUCCUGUGCUAUCCCCUAGUGGAGAAACAAUAGUAUUACAAUGUAGUGUGAAGCUUCCAGUGCUUACGUGUUUAAAAUAAAGG